rnacentral:tRNA from 4 species
GAGACGGGUUAGCUCAGUUGGUAGAGCGCCACACUUCCGUGGAGGUCGUCGGUUCGAAUCCGAUACAGUCUCU